rnacentral:rRNA from 1 species
GACGAACGCUGGCGGCGUGCUUAACACAUGCAAGUCGAACGGAAAGGCCCUGCUUUUGUGGGGUGCUCGAGUGGCGAACGGGUGAGUAACACGUGAGUAACCUGCCCUUGACUUUGGGAUAACUUCAGGAAACUGGGGCUAAUACCGGAUAGGAGCUCCUGCUGCAUGGUGGGGGUUGGAAAGUUUCGGCGGUUGGGGAUGGACUCGCGGCUUAUCAGCUUGUUGGUGGGGUAGUGGCUUACCAAGGCUUUGACGGGUAGCCGGCCUGAGAGGGUGACCGGCCACAUUGGGACUGAGGUACGGCCCAGACUCCUACGGGGGGCAGCAGUGGGGGAUAUUGCACAAUGGGCGGAAGCCUGAUGGAGCAACGCCGCGGUCGGGAUGACGGCCUUCGGGGUGGAAACCGCUUUCGCCUGGGACGAAGCGUGAGUGACGGUAAUGGGUAAAGAAGCACCGGCUAACUACGGG